rnacentral:snRNA from 1 species
AUACUUACCUAGCAGGGGAGGUUCCAUGAUCACGAAGGUGGUUUUCCCAGGGCGAGGCUUAUCCAUUGCACUCCGGAUGUGCUGACCCUGCGAUUUCCCCAAAUGUGGGAAACUCAACUGCAUAAUUUGUGGUAGUGGGGGGGACUGCCUUCGUGCUCUCCCCUA